GGGGGAGGAAGCCUCAUUUAUGCCUAGUGGAGAAGAAAGUCCCAGUUCCCUAACUGGUCUUCAGAAGUUAAGACUCUCUCAACUUCAAAAACUAAGAAUACAUAAAAAAAUUCUGGAACAACUACUACUAAAAUAUUAACAGAGAUUUUCCUCAGAAAAUCAAGAAACUCCAUUCUUGGGAGUAUGGCUCCUGCUGCAACCUGUGCACAGAGUAGAGGAUGUUAAGCCAGUUUGAUUUAACCUCUGGAGAUAUCACCUGAAGACAGCCUGCCUGAAAAUGAAGCCAUCAGAGAACAGAUCAAAGCUAAGAGAUGGAGGGAGACAGACCAAAUGGUGCCCUGGAUCCAGCCACACACAAAGCCAACAAUAUUCCCUUGACUCUUCUGUCACAUGAACCA